AAAACAACGCAAAUACUAUCAAAUAAUGUUACAAACAAACAUUGCACACCAAAGAGAAAAUAUAGAAGGAUUGUUGCUGUAACCCACUAAGCUUCAUUCGAAAUCUACUUCCCUAAGUUAACUUACUAUGUAGUAGGUGAAAAUCAGUAUGCAAGUCUGUACCAGAUCACACCAUGUCAUGACUGUCUGAAAAACAUCACUUGUACAUAACCUUUGACCCUCCGCGUCUGUGUUGAUAGUCAUUCCUAACAGAUUCGUCUCACAUUGUACUCCUCUGUUUUAAAUCUCUUUGACAGCAGUAAGAAAGUUGUACAUAUCGACACAACGACACCAAACAACGCAUGAACAAUGAGCCGAAGGUAUUCAAAGAGCAUAAACAUCUUCUGACAGCACAGGAAAUAUUGAAACUCUCAGACAGCCAAGAUUUCCUCGCGAGAGGGGCAGGGCGGCUUAACUUCUCUACGUUUAGUCUGGAGAAAUCACCACAGAGGAUACUGAGUUACAAAUGUGAAAUACCUUCAGCGUGUGUGCUUCAUGCAGGACGAAACUUCAUCUUUAAUGUCCUGAAACCCGGAGAGUUUAUUUUUCCCCAGGUGACUCUCUUUGUCCUCGAGCCAUUAAGUUCCAAAAUGACUUUAACAGUCCGAAAGUUCACGAGGAAUCGUGUGUUUAUGUGUUUUACGCGUAGUUUCACAUACACCAGCAGUGUGUUGUUGAAACAUUAUCCUUAGAAACGUGCGAUAAACCAUUAGGGUUCACACACCCCACAUUCAUAUUGUUGUGUGUGAGUGUGUUUCGUGUGCGUCUGUGUAUUGUAAACUUUACACACUUACUGUUUUGAUAUCUCACAAUCUAGCAGACAAAUGUAUGCUGGUGUUGACUCAUCAAACUCCCGUGUGUGUGUAAUUUAAUGUGUGUGGUUUGGUCUUUAUCACUUCUCCCCCGAUACAGUUACAGGGUCAGACAUUCUCCCUUCCUCUCACCCCCGCCAUGGUGCUAAAUGUCCCCCUAAACGCCCCGUGGAGGGGUAACUCAGUCCCUGCAGGGUUUGGGGCAGCUGCUUGGUAUCUGAAAGAAAAGGCGAGGGACCUGUUAUCAUGUUGCCAUGGGCAAUAAAGAGCAUAAACACACAUGGGAAGGUUUAAGUUUCCCUUCAGGGGCAGCACACCACUGAAAAUAACAAAAUCAAACAUUUAACAUAAACCCAUGAGAGUUAAGGGUCUGUCGGUAAUCCACUGCAUAACCACUCCACGGGGUGGACUCAAUUUACACAUCUGUGUUUCCAGAGCCACAAAUGUUUUUGCGGUUCGUCUGGAAGUUUUCUUCUGUUUUCUUUACUUGAAGUUGACGUGAAAAUGAAAUAGACCAAUUUGAUUUAAUUGUGUCUUUAUUUAUCACUUCUAUUUUCUAAUUUUACAAUCAUUUUGGCAGAAAUAUCUGAGAACAUAUGUGAAGUUUUAGCUCAAAAUAUUAUA